GGGCUGUUGGUCUAGUGGUAUGAUUCUCGCUUUGGGGUUUACACCCUGUCACUCACAGGAUGAAGCUCAAGCAUGCGAGAGGUCCCGGGUUCAAUCCCCGGACAGCCCC